UUCGUUGCUCAUAAUUAUUUUCUCCAACAACGACCUGUUGAAUGAGCUCGAUAACAUCUCGGAAUAUUUCCUAUUUUCUUUCUCUUUUCAUUUCCUCCUUCUUUUUCCUUUCUUUUCUAAUGGAUCUUAUCAACGUACGAUUUAACGAUUAAUUAGUAAGAGUAAGAGUUGAGAGAUUAACUGUAUUAAUAUCUCUGUCUUUCAUCAAGGCCAUUUAAUACGCAUGUAACGAGUGGUGCGUUGCUCGCUGAUAUCUAAUAACAUUCUCACGUUAGAACGUACGGUGGUUUCCUUUGACUUUCCAUCAUGGUUAUGGUAAUUACUGGAUUCGACUUGGCCGCCGUUACGAGACGCGGCGAAACACGCGAAGGAAAUCGUAUCUAAGAUCGUAAGUAGAAAAAGGAAGAAAGAAAAAUGA